AUUAGUGCUUUAUAAAAAACAAGAUAAAAAAAUAACUCUACCACAUACAUUAUUUAGGAGCUGGCGAUGGCUCGAUGAAAAGGAGAUCUCUCUCUAGCCUUUCCCACAUCAGAGCUUGGCUCCUACAUAU
ensembl:snoRNA